rnacentral:rRNA from 1 species
UACGAAGGGGGCUAGGCGUUGCUCGGAAUUACUGGGCGUAAAGCGCACGUAGGCGGCUUUCUAAGUCGGGGGUGAAAUCCUGGAGGCUCAACUCCAGAACUGCCUUCGAUACUGGAGAGCUUGAGUCCGGGAGAGGUGAGUGGAACUGCGAGUGUAGAGGUGAAAUUCGUAGAUAUUCGCAAGAACACCAGUGGCGAAGGCGGCUCACUGGCCCGGUACUGACGCUGAGGCACGAAAGCGUGGGGAGCAAACAGGG